ACGUUGUCCCGCGACUCUUGGAACGCAAUGGAUUCGGCGACCGACGCAACAGCAUGGAUGCCCAGCACUUCCGUCCCUCUAUCCGUAACCAGCAUACUUCCACCGCCGAAGCCCCUAGACGUUUCCGGUGACCUGUGGAAAGCUUGGAAACUGUGGAAAACAGCACCGAAUAUGCCUCAGCGGAUGAAGCAGAAGAUGACUGUUCUCCAGUGCGUGCGUCGGAGUCAGAGUCUGACCCGGACGAAUCUGAAGACGAUGACAGUGACCUGCGUGUGCAGCAACCAGACGAGCUGAUCCCUGGUUUCCCAAGUUUCUUGUAAUCCAGUCAACCGAAGAUGGAAAAUCACUGGCAAAAAUCUCUCCUUUCGCUGUGGCGAAGGACCUGGAAAAAGUCAUUGUUAAAGGAUACAACGCAAAAAAAACUAAACAACGGAGACACCCAGGUUGAAGGACGAAGUAACCAACAAAGCACUGCAUUGCAAACACUGAAGAUCAUUGGGGAUACUCCUGUGAGUGUGACGACACGUCGUACAUUGAACAUUGUGAAGGGCGUGAUUUCAGAGGACUAGCUUCUCGGAUGCACGGAACCUGAGAUUGAAGAGGGUUUGAGUGACCAGGGUGUAGUAUGCGCAAAAAGAAUCAUGAUGAGGAGGGACGGCAAGGAAAUUGACACCAAACACAUUAUUCUGUCCUUCAAACUAGACACCAUACCCACCAAUGU